GGCCGGAUAGCUCAGUCGGUAGAGCAGGGGAUUGAAAAUCCCCGUGUCGGCGGUUCGAUUCCGUCUCCGGCCACCA
rnacentral:tRNA from 1 species